GGCAAAGCCAGAGUCAGGCCUGGGGCCUCACAGCCUGCCAUCUGUCCUGGGGGGGGGGCAGGGGAAGAAGGGAGGGAGGGAAGGAGAGAGGAGGGAGGGAGACACACAGAGACACAGAAACAGAAGCCAGGCAGAGGUAGGGACAGAGCUCAGGCUGUUCAAGGGCAAAGGGCGUGGUGCUUCCCAGAAUGGCCUCUACUCCUCUGGGAGAGAGGCUGAGGUAUCCCUCCAUGCUCCCAGCCAUUCCCUUCAUUCUCCUCCCAGGGGGUCCCACCCAGACCUCGCAGCAGCCCCAUGGAACAGAGACAGAGCCGGUGAGGGAGACAAGAGCGAGGGGGGCGGGACAGAGAAGAGUAAAUGUGGACUCGGUAAUUGCAGAUGACACAGAACAGGGACCCCGGGAGCGGCAGCGGGCAGAUGUGGAGACCAGAAAAAGGGGACGGAAGGGGACGGGGGAGGGACAGGAAAAGCUCCCAAGGGAGCGAGAUCUGGGGCCUGCCGGGCUAUAGAUGCCCCAGCGGCCCCCUCGGAGCUGCCCGCUGAGGGCCCCCCACAGCCCACGGGGAAGUCUCUUCUGCUUUAGGACGGCCGAGACGACCGACAAGCUCCUCUUCCUGUCGAGCUGCAGCCUCCUCCCCGGGCCAUUAGGACCCACCAUUCCGUGACUUGCUCUAAAAGCACGGAGCAGGUCUCGGGAUCCCACCUGGCGUACGCUGUUAAAGGUACGACUGGUCCAUGGCAGCAAAAGGCAGGGCCUAUCCCCCAGGGCCAGCCUGGCUCCAGCAAGCCUCCCUGCCGUCGCUGCCGUUCCCCCUCAGGUGGCUGACCUGGUCGGUGAGGGGCAGUCUGCUGAGGUACUUUGCCAAGAUUUGCACGAUGCUUUUUGUAUCAGAUUUAUUUACUGCUUUGCCCCCAUUACGCUCAGAACGCCUUUUUUUUAAACAUCCGUUUUGUAAAAUCCCCACCCACAAUUCAGAAACCACACGUGAAGUUUCUCAUAUUAUUCUCGUGGGGAAGAUGGAAAGAUUUGGGUCAGGCGAUCAGACGGCAGGCCCGAGAGCAGCCGUUAAUGGUUCACCGUCAAGUAGGCAGGAAGUCUCUACUGGAAUGCUCACCGGAUGGGUGUUUGGCCCUGGCCUGGUUCUUAUUUUUACCCGGGAAUUGAAUAAAGGCCUAGCUGGGCCGAUUAGCAAGCCUGCAGAUGGUACCAGGCUGCAAGGACCACAGCUGACAGAGCAGAUGACAGGCACUCGGGAUCCGCAAACAUAUGGACAGGUUAGAGCCUCUGACUGAGGCUGAAACAAAGGGCCAUAGAAAUAAUCCUACUUGGAUUCCCAAGCCCAAGAUGGCGGAGGGCCGGUUGGAUGACGGUCAUUUGAGCCUAACCUGCGAGUCUGAGGGGUGACACGGAGCAGCCAAGAGGGCGAACGGCUCCGGCUUCUGCCCUGCUCAGAGCCCAACGAAAGACUGUGUUCUGGGAACCAAAGUCUAGGGAGGACAGUGAGAAGCCGGAGUGUCGCCAGGGGCAGCUGAGAAGGAGGAGAGGGGACUCAAGAUCACGCCAACCUGACACUGAGCUUGGAGCCAGAUGAUGGGAAGGGCCGGCUGGCCCACAGAACAAGGGGCUUAGCUUCGCUCCGCUUGCCACCCAGAGGGAUGUCAGAUCACAAACCCAAAGCUUCAACUGUUCCUCUUUCUUUAACUGACCUUCAGAGGGCCUGGCUCCUCCCCAUCCUCUACUCAGGCCCCCAUUUGAAUCCAUUCCAGCUUUUCCAUGUCCCUCUUACGUUUGGCCCCCAGAAGUGGACACAGCCUCCGGCCCUCCUCACUCUAUUCUUCCCCAAUUGACCAUGAGCUUCGGGAUGAAACUUUACAUCGGUCCCUGUUAGUGUUCAUUGGAUACCCUAACUCGCUAUCCUUAGGAUCACUGGAUUUAGAGGUGGAAGGGACCUGCUGUCAACCGGAAGGCCAGAGGAGAAAACCAAGGCCUCGAGAAGGAAAAGGUCUCACAACCACUGAAUCACAGAGCUGGCAUUUGAACCCAGGCUCUGGGACUCCAAAGCUUCUAGCUCAUCACAAUGUUGAUUUUUGAAUUUGGAUUCUUCUGGCCCCUCCCCGUUCGAGGUGAAUCCCAAAUUAAUAAAUGACAUUUCAUCCAAGGCAAUCCCAAUGAACUCUGGGUAGAAAACGCCAUCUUCAUCCAGAGAGAGAACUAUGGGGAUUGAAUGUAAAUCAACACAUGCUAUGUUCCCUUUUUUUUUCGGGUUUUUUUUUUUUCCUCUCCUGUGGUUUUUCCCUUUUGUUUUGAUUCUUGUCUCCCAGCAUGAUUCGUAAAGAAAUAUGUAUUAAAAAGUUAAUAUACAUGUAAAAUAAAGCAAUUAAUAAAAAUAAAGUAUACAAAAAA